GGCUAAAGCCUGAGAGCGACAGUUGAAUAUACCAAUGGGACCCUGGAAGAGUCUAAGCGACAGUCAAAAUCACCAUUCAAUGUCAGCUAGGUGCAAGGCGGGACUUUAAGUACGGAAGCUGCCCCGGGACAUGAGGAAAGGAACAAGGGAAAGACCCGGUGAAGGGGCAGAACAGGCAGGUUCCCUCGACCCAGGACCCCCUGUUCCCAGGCUAUGGCCCCCAGUGCCCUGUAGACCUGGCAGGCCCCCCGUGCUUGCGACCCCUAUUUGGGGGUCUGGGUGGCUACUGGAGGGCCUUGCAGAGGGGUAGAGAAGGCAGGACCAUGACAUCUAGGGCCUCUGAACUUUCUCCGGGGCGCAGCGUGACGGCUGGCAUCAUCAUUGUUGGAGAUGAGAUCCUUAAGGGACACACUCAGGACACCAACACCUUCUUUCUGUGCCGGACACUGCGCUCCCUAGGGGUCCAGGUUUGCCGAGUCUCAGUUGUACCUGAUGAGGUAGCCACCAUUGCAGCUGAGGUCACUUCUUUCUCCAACCGCUUCACCCAUGUCCUCACAGCAGGGGGCAUCGGCCCCACUCAUGAUGAUGUGACCUUUGAGGCAGUGGCACAGGCCUUUGGAGAUGAGCUGAAGCCACACCCCAAGUUGGAAGCAGCCACCAAAGCCCUAGGAGGGGAAGGCUGGGAGAAGCUAUCAUUGGUGCCCUCCUCUGCCCGCCUGCAUUAUGGCACAGAUCCUUGCACUGGUCAACCUUUCAGAUUCCCUCUGGUCUCCGUCCGAAACGUCUACCUCUUCCCAGGCAUUCCAGAGCUGCUGCGGCGGGUGCUGGAGGGGAUGAAGGGACUAUUCCAAAACCCAGCUGUUCAGUUCCACUCAAAGGAGCUAUAUGUGGCUGCUGAUGAAGCCUCCAUCGCCCCCAUUCUGGCUGAGGCCCAGGCCCACUUUGGACGUAGGCUUGGCCUGGGUUCCUACCCUGACUGGGGCAGCAACUACUAUCAGGUGAAGCUGACUCUAGACUCAGAGGAAGAAGGACCCCUGGAGGAAUGCCUGGCCUACCUGACUGCCCGUUUGCCCCAGGGAUCGCUGGUCCCCUACAUGCCCAACGCUGUGGAGCAGGCCAGUGAGGCUGUAUACAAACUCGCUGAAUCAGGGUCUUCUUUGGGGAAAAAGGUGGCAGGUGCCCUACAGACCAUUGAGACCGCCCUGGCUCAGUACAGCCUCACCCAGCUCUGUGUGGGCUUCAACGGGGGCAAAGACUGCACUGCCCUCCUGCACCUCUUCCAUGCAGCUGUGCAGAGGAAAUUACCUGAUGUUCCAAACUCCCUCCAGAUCCUGUAUAUCCGCAGCAUCUCCCCUUUCCCUGAGCUGGAACAAUUUCUACAGGACACUAUCAAGAGGUAUAAUCUGCAGAUGUUGGAAGCUGAGGGCAGCAUGAAGCAGGCCCUGGGUGAACUGCAGGCACGGCACCCCCAGCUGGAGGCUGUCCUUAUGGGCACCCGCCGGACUGACCCCUACUCCUGUAGCCUCUGCCCUUUCAGCCCCACUGACGCAGGCUGGCCUGCAUUCAUGCGCAUCAACCCACUGCUGAGCAAGCUAUACCAGAGAAUCAGAUAGCAAGCCCUCCCUCAGAGGCCAAGGGAGCAGAAGAGCCAUGGAUGGGCCCCUUCCCAGGACAGCAGGGGUAGAAGUGGGAAAGGUGAGCAUUUGUGACUAUUCUAUUACUCUGACCUCCCAGGACUGGACCUACAGAGACAUCUGGGAUUUUCUGCGUCAGCUGUUUGUCCCAUACUGUAUCCUGUAUGACCGAGGAUACACAUCACUGGGGAGUCGGGAGAAUACCGUGCGGAACCCGGCCCUGAAGUGCCUGAGCCCAGGAGGACACCCCACAUACCGUCCAGCCUAUCUACUGGAGAAUGAAGAAGAGGAGCGGAACUCCCGCACAUGACCUCCCACCCUAGGAGGGAGGGAAGGACACUAUCCUAGGGUAUAAGCUGGCAAUAAACCGUGCCUCUCACUGUG